CAGAAGGUGAUGAUGUGACUCUUCAGUGUCGUCUGGAUCCUCCGGUCAACCUGUCUGCUUUCACAGUGGACUGGACGAGACUUGACAACAAGGAUAUCGUCCACGUCUAUCGACAUCAACAGGACGAUCCUGAUCCACAGACGGAUCAAUACAGAAGCAGGACGACUCUCCUCCAUGAAGACCUGAUCAGAGGAGUCCUGACUCUGCACAUCUCCUCAGUGAAGCUGUCUGACAGAGGACCUUACAAAGGCUUUGUCCCAAAGCUGAAGACCAGCUGUGUUGUUGACCUCAUUGUUGAAACGGUGGGAAAAGACCAGCAGAACGAGACAAAGAGAGAUUAUUCCAGCACAACUGGACCUCCAGAGGAAGAAGAGACCGAGCCAGACGGUCGUGAUGGUGGAAACAGAGAGACUGCCCGCGCUGUUAUCAUUUCCA